GAAAUUUCAUCGGAUUUUACUCCCAGCAUCUCUCUUCCUCUGUAUCUUCUAUGGAAUUUUCUCCGUGAGCUUUUGCUGGAUUUCUCAGUAACAACACGAGAAUUUCUCCAUCGUUCUUCUUUACUCACUGGUAUUUGAUUAAAAUUGGUCGGUGUUUAAAUUAGGGAUAUCUGUUCCACCUCACAGACUGAAACACUUCUGAAAUCUUCGAUUUUCUAUCUCUGUCAGUGUAAUUUCCUUACCAAAGAACUCAGCUUUUCUGAUCUUUAAUAACAACUUGUUUUGCAUAUCCAUAAGUGCAAUUUCUUUAUCUUUUUUGCUGAUUGUGCUAUUGCUUUCGAUGUUUUUGAAUUCGAAUUCUACUGAAAAAUUCAAAGUUUUCUAGGGCCAAAAACUGAAAUGGAAUAUCAAUAUUUUGUUUUUGGUUUUUUUUUAUAGGCUGUAUCAUUGUGAAGAAACGAUGUUUAUAGCAAGAAAAAGCUACCUGUAGCUUAAACCCCAAAGUUAACUCCUUCUCACUGUAAGACCUUCUUUGCCACCUCAUUUGUAUUCUUUAUGAUUAUUUUUAGUUGAAUAUUGUAUUUUGCUCUGUUAAUCAAAAUUUGAUUUUCUUAAUGGAUAUUAUGCGUAGUAGGGUUGUCUUCAUGUUGAUUUUUGUUUGACCUAAACCUGUGGUGCUGCUGUUGUUUACU
rnacentral:lncRNA from 1 species